rnacentral:rRNA from 1 species
CAAUAGCGUAUAUUUAAGUUGUUGCAGUUAAAAAGCUCGUAGUUGGAUUUCGGGUGGGACGCAGCGGUCUCGCAUUGCGUUUGUACUGCUGCAGCCCUCCUUCUUGCCGGGGGCGGCCUCUCGGACUUCACUGUCUGGGGGUCAGAAUCGGCGAUGUUACUUUGAGCAAAUUAGAGUGUUCAAAGCAAGCUUACGCUCUGAAUAUAAUAGCAUGGGAUAACACGACAGGACUCUGGCCUAUCGUGUUGGUCUAUAGGACCAGAGUAAUGAUUAAGAGGGACAGUCGGGGGCAUUCGUAUUCCGUUGUCAGAGGUGAAAUUCUUGGAUUUACGGAAGACGAACAUCUGCGAAAGCAUUUGCCAAGGAUGUUUUCAUUG